rnacentral:rRNA from 1 species
CCUACGGGAGGCAGCAGUAGGGAAUCUUUCACAAUGGGCGAAAGCCUGAUGGAGCAACGCCGCGUGCAGGAUGAAGGCCUUCGGGUUGUAAACUUCUUUUAUAAGCGAGAAAUAUGAUGGUAACUUAUGAAUAAGGAUCGGCUAACUACGUGCCAGCAGCCGCGGUCAUACGUAGGAUCCGAGCAUUAUCCGGAGUGACUGGGUGUAAAGAGUUGCGUAGGUGGCAUAAUAAGGAGCGAGUGGAAUCUGGUGGGUCAACCAUUCAGACUAUUAGCUAAACUGUUAAGCUCGAGACCGUUAGGGGUAGCUGGAAUUUCUAGUGUAGGGGUGAAAUCCGUAGAUAUUAGAAGGAACACCAAUAGCGUAGGCAGGUUACUGGGACAGUACUGACACUGAGGCACGAAAGCGUAGGGAGCAAACGGGAUUAGAUACCCGUGUAGUC